rnacentral:rRNA from 1 species
CCAUUGACAUCGACAUCUUGAACGCACAUUGCGGCCCCGGCUCACUGCCGGGGCCUCGCCUGUCCGAGGGUCGGCGAACUUGUGAUCGCCCAUCGCUCCCCGACUCGGGGAACGAGGGCGCGUUGGCGCGUCGGGGCGUCGCCCUGUCGACCGGUGGUCGACCUGUCCAUCUCGAGUUCCGCCUCCGGCUCUCGCUCCAUAGCCACCCCUGGGAGGGUCACGUGGCUCGGUGGCCAUGGGGUUUUUGGCUCGUGUGCAUGACCCCUGCUACCACGUACGGGACGACCUCCGGGGGGUCCGACGGCUCGUUCAGAGCGGAGUUUGUUACGUACACGCGUACGAACACCUACACACACUCCGCCCUCGGAUAAGACGAGACUACUCGGUGUACUUAAGGAUAUCAAUUAGCGGAGGAUAAGAAACUAACAAGGCUGCCGUUAGUAACAGCGAGUGAAGCAGGAAAGAGCCCACG